UUUGUGACAAGUAACAGUCCAAACACAUUUUUCUGUGAUUUGUUUUAAUUUUACUUUCAACUUGUUUCUCGUUUCUUCCUCUUAAUUCACUAAUUAACCAAUUUUAUCACCAAGGCUAUCAACUUUUGGUCUUUAUCAUGUUGAAUUCCAAAGGAGUUCCAGCUGCACAAAAAGCACAAUCGACUAGUGCUAAAAGGAUUCAAAAAGAGCUUGCUGAAAUCACUCUUGAUCCUCCACCUAACUGUAGUGCUGGUCCAAAAGGUGACAAUAUCUAUGAAUGGGUGUCCACCAUUUUAGGGCCUCCAGGGUCAGUUUAUGAAGGUGGUAUUUUUUUCUUGGACAUCCUAUUCUCGCAAGAGUAUCCAUUUAAACCUCCAAAGGUUACGUUUCGAACUCGAAUAUAUCACUGUAAUAUAAACAGUCAAGGUGUUAUAUGCUUAGAUAUCCUGAAAGACAAUUGGAGCCCAGCUUUAACAAUUUCUAAAGUUCUUUUAUCCAUCUGUUCCCUGUUGACAGACUCUAAUCCUGCGGAUCCACUGGUUGGUAGCAUUGCUACUCAAUACUUACAACAUAGAGAGGAACAUGACCGAAUUGCAAGACUUUGGACUAAAAGAUAUGCCAUGUAACUGAGAUUCACAUGUGUGUCACACAACUCCUUGUGUCACAUUUAUCAACUUUUCCUAAACAUCACAUGGAAUUUCAUUUCUCAAUUUUACAUAUUGGCAUGAUUUGAACUUUGAUGUGCGUCUGAAUGGGAAUCAAUUUUGCUUGGUUAAUUUCAAGCAAUUUUAUGAUGAUUACUUUGCAUAAGCGGUCAGCUGAUAAAUCAUGAUGAUAAAUAAAAAAUGACCAUGAAUGAACCGGAAAAAUGAAAUCUAUCAACUAAACGAUGACCCAAACGAACCAAGAUAAGCAUUUAUAGCAUCUCAUUGAAAUGUAUUCAUUUAUUAACUCAUAUUGAAGCCAAUUAGUUAGAGUUAAAUUUAAAUAUCAAUUUGUCAAGUUCAAAAAUUGACCUCUAUUUGAUUCAAUUUGACCAAAUGAAUAAAUCUUGCCAAUGAAUAAUUUCUUACUAAAUCAUAUCCAUGAACUAGUUUGAUUGGUUGUUUUCAUUUUAACUCCAACUUCAUUAAGGUUAUCGUUAGUUUUAGUGUUUUGAUAAUUAUCACCAAAUAAUAGUUCAAUGAAUUGAACAAAUGUUAAAUUGACAAAAAGGUCUACUUUUUACACGAAUUAAACGAAUCCUUGAAUAAAAACGAAACUUUAACGGUCCAA